rnacentral:rRNA from 1 species
CCUACGGGUGGCAGCAGUGAGGAAUAUUGGUCAAUGGGCGCAAGCCUGAACCAGCCAAGUCGCGUGAGGGAUGACGGUCCUAUGGAUUGUAAACCUCUUUUGUCGGGGAGCAAGUCCCGCCACGUGUGGCGGGAAGGAGAGUACCCGAAGAAAAAGCAUCGGCUAACUCCGUGCCAGCAGCCGCGGUAAUACGGAGGAUGCGAGCGUUAUCCGGAGUUAUUGGGUUUAAAGGGUGCGUAGGCGGAAGGUUAAGUCAGCGGUAAAAUGUCGGUGCUCAACACGGGCCUGCCGUUGAAACUGGUCUUCUUGAGUGAGCGAGAAGUAUGCGGAAUGCGUGGUGUAGCGGGGAAAUGCAUAGAGAGCACGAAGAACUCCGAUUGCGAAGGCAGCAUACCGGCGCUCAACUGACGCUGAGGCACGAAAGCGUGGGGAUCGAACAGGAUUAGAUACCCUGGGAGUC